rnacentral:rRNA from 1 species
UCUUCGGCAAUGGGCGCAAGCCUGACCGAGCGACGCCGCGUGCGGGAUGAAGGCCUUCGGGUUGUAAACCGCUGUCGUAGAGGAGGAAAUGCAGGGGGGUUCUCCCUUCUGUUUGACCUAUUCUAGGAGGAAGUACGGGCUAAGUUCGUGCCAGCAGCCGCGGUAAGACGAACCGUACAAACGUUACUCGGAAUUACUGGGCUUAAAGGGUGCGUAGGCUGCGCGGAAAGUUGGGUGUGAAAGCCCUCGGCUCAACCGAGGAAUUGCACUCAAAACUACCGUGCUUGAGGGAGACAGAGGUAAGCGGAACUCAAGGUGGGGCGGUGAAAUGCGUUGAUAUCUUGAGGAACACCGGUGGCGAAGGCGGCUUACUGGGUCUUUUCUGACGCUGAGGCACGAAAGCUAAGGUAGCAAACGGGAUUAGAUACCCCGGUAGUCUUAGCUGUAAACGAUGAGCACUUGAUUGGAGGGUCCUCCAUAGCCUUCCAGUCGUAGCGAAAGUGUUAAGUGCUCCGCCUGGGGA